AUGGCAGCCCGAAUCCCAUGUGAAUGGUCUUCCUCUUCCAUGAUUCGCAUUUCCUGCUUUCAGCAGAUCCUUCUCACUUCUCCCUCCGAGGGAGAAUCUGGACCCUUGGGUGAGAGUGGCAUGUGACUUCACGAGCUGUUGGAAUUAACUAAAGCGUACUCAUUCCCAAUCAGUCUCCCCCGAGGACCCCCACCCCCCAGCAGCUGCGAACUCCCAGCGGGGGCCGUGGCCGAGACCAGCUGGCCGCGCUCCUCACCCCUGCUCAGCCCGGGCCCCGCAGAAUCAGCCCACACUGACACCAAGGCAGCUGGGGAAAGCCGAGGUAGCUCCUCCAAAUACAACUCUUUCUCUACCCUGCCUUGAAGAUCUGGCACUUCGAUUUCCCAGAAAGUCUGGACUGGGUUUGCUUUGAGAAAAGGUGAAGCCAACAAGAGGCAGAGUUCAGAAAAUGGUGCUGAAGGGCAAACCUUUCUAGCUAUUAGGCAACAUUCGAGACUUCAGAAAAUGCAAAUAAAAAUACCGAGGCUUGCUCGGGCAGUGGCUCAUCAGAAGGGAAAGUAAGAUUUGGUUGUCCAGUGGGGGCACAGCCUAUUCUUUUCUGAUUUCACAGGAAAAAACAAAAAAGGAUCCUCCGCGUCAGGCUGCUCUGUUGGAAGCUUGGAUGGCAAUGAUUGGGGUGACUGGCGUCUCCAGAAUCAAGUUCGCAGCCACCAAGCCAGGGUUUCAUUUGAGCUCCAUAAAGAUAAAGUGUCCCCAACCUGGACUUAGUUUAGUGGAUCUCUGGGGAUUGGGCGUGAACGUGACAUUUCACCCCUGGGUCAGAGGCCACUUCCUGCUCCGACAUGUGACAUGGCAGUGGAAGUGACAGGUGCAGAUGCUUUGAGAGUCAUCGUGAGGUUCCACCACCUUUUCCUUCUGACCCAAGGCUCAUCAUGUUCUCAGAUGGGAAUCUUCUAUCAACGUGGAUCCCAAAGUGAAGAGGAUGAGGGAUGGAGCCAGAGUUUACCUCAACCAAUAUGGAACACGAGCUAUAAAAAAUAAUUCGUUUUUAUUCUUGUAAGGAACUGAAAUUUGAGGGUCGUUUGUUAUUGUGGCUUAACCCAGGGAAAGAUGACCGAUACACUUUCCUUCACAAAAAUUAUAUAUCAUUUGACUCAAAUUUAGAGCUAUACGCCUCAUGAAAAAAAUGGUCAUUCCCAUUUGGGUGAGUCGUCCAUCAGUGUUUUCCAGGUGCAAAGCUUCAGGAAGACAUAAAUGCCAUCAAGAGGAAGUGGAAUUCUCAACCAGUAAAGCCAGUAGGCUAACUUUUAUAUUCACCAACUUCAACAAUAUGGAAGCCAGCUUGCCUUGCAGCUCUGCUGGAAGUGCCAAGAGGAUCCCAUCUGAGAUAUGGAGGAAAAUUUGCAACAAGAGAUUGCUAUCAAUCAGACAGGGAUUUCCUUUCCUAGUUAGGAAAAUCAAUGGGGUGGGGGAAGAGAUUUAUCUGCUGAUUUAUACAGAAACAAGAAUAGUCAGAGCUCGUCGUAAUAUCAUUUUUAAUAGUAACAUCACAUAGAGAAGUAUAAAAGAAACUCACUCAAGACAAAAAGAGUUUGUACAGAUUGGCCAAGUUCUUGCUUAAUGUUCCUUCCUCCUCCUCCUCCUCCCAUUCCUGUUCCAUUUCCCUUCUCUGUCUCUCUUCCUUGUCUUUACCCUAAAUCUACUCAUGGCCAUCUUUGGAAGAUGCGAGGAUAAUAAAUAUAAAUAGAUAUAUAGAGAUGUUCCUUACUGAAAUCAAAAGAUAAAUUAAAUAUACUCUUAUUUCGAGGAGUUUAGUCCAUUUAUAACUCUAAAAUAUUAAAAGAACUUCUUAACCCUAAACCUCUAACGUUUGAAAAACCUUCCAAAAACAACUAUAUUUGAAGGCUUUUGACACUUUCUUUUAAGAAAUGCCAAAGUGUAUUCUCAUUUCCCCAGGCUUGCCCAGCCAUGAACAGCUUCAGUUCAAGCUUUCCCUGAGUACCUGCUAGGAUCAUAAAUCUGUCUUCAUGUAGAACUUGUACUUUUAAAGUGUGGAUUAUCUUACUGAAGAUCAUCUUUUUGCCAUGAGCUUUCUAUCCCAAGGUCAGUUCCCCUAAACACACACACACACACACACACACACACACA